rnacentral:lncRNA from 1 species
AGUGGAAACGUUUCCGUUUCUCCUCUGGAUCUGACCCGAAGUCCCGGGACCCGAUGCCAUUCUGGAGAUUUAUUAGUGAAUCCUUCAUCUGCAAGACAAGAAACGUCUCCAAUGUGCUGCUACCCUGGAGGUGGCAGCACUUUGGGAUUUCCUUUCUCAUCGGUGCCUCCUCCAUCCAGAUUCUCUCCUUUACUUGUCUGGACUCCUGUGAGAUGAUAGAGAACCCACGUGAAUAGCCCUUGGGACCUUCUGCCCAGCCCAGCAUCAGAAGACAGACUUAAAGAGAGAUGGGAACGGAGGUGAUGCACCUGGUGGGCUGCAGUGGUCCAG